AAAGUUAAGACAGGUAUCUCUAAGUAUAAACUAUUUCAGACUGAGAACCUGAGGAUGGCUCAUUAUCUCAGAUAUAGCUUCUUUGAUGGCACCUUGCUACUCGUAUAACCGAAGGGAUUCUAGAGCUAAUACGUGCACCAAGUCCCACCUGUCGGAAGGGAUGCAUUAAUUAGAUAAAUGGCCGGCGAGGACUUUCGGCCGCCGGUCAGGUGGAUUCAUUAUAACUCGACGGUUCGCACGGUCCUUGAUCCGCAGACGCUUCAUUCAUAUUUCUACCCUAUCAACUUGCGAUGGUAGGAUAGUGGCCUACCAUAGUGGUGACGGGUGACGGAGAAUUAGGGUUCGAUUCCGGAGAGGGAGCCU
rnacentral:rRNA from 1 species